GGGAGAAGGGGAGAAUGGGCGCGGCUGGGGCGCAGUGUGCAGGUUGCAGUCCGGCGUCUGCGUCUGGCCUCCGCUAGGGGACAGACCGACGCGCUAGCUCCUACUCCACCCAAACCCGGGCAGUGUGUGUCUCUCACAGAGUUUAGUAGAGGGCGUUAGACGCCAAAGCCCCACCCUUUUGUGGAGUCCUCAAGCUGCUUUGAGAAAAGUUCCUAAAAUGGGGCUGCUACAGCCAGAUAGGAAGUUAUCCAUUGCCAGGCGGUUGAGAACUCUUAUCUCAAGCCAAGCACCGUAUUAACUAAAGUGUGAAAAAUAUAAUUGUGUCCAAUUUACAGAAGAGGCAGUGGAAGCACUGUCCGGCAACACAAUUUGUCUAAAAUAUAAUAAUGGUAAAUGAUAGAAUGAAUAUUUGUCUGCUUUCAAGACCUGUGCACUGAACGACCCUGCUAAACUGUAUUUGGCAAGACCUGUGUGAUCUGUAGCUGAGAAAAUGAAAGAAAAUGUGUACAGUACGGUGACGUUUAUGAAAAAGGUAAAAUAUUGAAGACGUGGCACGAUUCAAAACUUACAUAGGGAUAAAUAUUGAUAAAAGAUCCCCUUUCCCAAGACAUGUUGCGGUAGCAGCAGAACCGAAUGCUCCCUGGAAUUGGGGUUCAGAUCUAGACAUCUUGGCAUGGAAGAAAACUGGUCACUUUCCCAGCCUCACCCUUCCUGAACUCCCACUGACUUCAAGUGGAAAUGAGCUCUGCUGAGCGGACUGCGACAUUCGGGACAGUUAUUAACAAGGCCAGCGCAAGGCCGACCAAAACCAGUAUUUAAACCAAGGCCUCAACACAGCUGCAAGGUUACUGACAUUGAGUGACUAAUUCUUUCUUAUCAACUCGUUCUCCACACCCACUCCAUUCCUCCACUUCCUGAACCAAGAUUUCUGAGAUACCCAACGAUUAAACCACCCUGCUUUGUGACACAUCCACGCUGACCUGAUUCCUGUUUCUCCUACCCUUCCCACCUUAGAAUCACUUAACACAAACCCUGCAAAAAGCCGUUUCCCACAGCCUCUUACUGAGUCGUUGCAUAGUUCAUUUGGUAUGCACACCCUCUUGCCGCAAUAGGCUAAUAAAACCAACAUUGGCAAGGUUCGUUCCUCUUGUACUCUACCUUUGGGUGUUAAUCAGAACCAGAGUUUCCUAGAACAAAGUCUAAGAACAACUGGAUGAAAUGAUUACUUCCUACUAUAAAAUCCUGUAGGUGUAAAAGCUGAGACAUUGCAGCCCACCUAAAAUGCUUUGUGUACCAACAGGAAAACAGUGCAUUAUAAAUAAAAAGGGUGAGGGCUAUUUAAAAAAUAGGAACUGUGUAUUACUUUUAUAAAUUGCCUCUUGUCUCUCUGGUCCCUCAUGCUGCUAAUGUUUUUGGCUGAAUAUUUGUGCUGUAGGCUCUCUUGGGUUGAUGAGGGCUCAAUACCCUUCCCUUCUGCCA